rnacentral:rRNA from 1 species
CAAGUCUGACGGAGCAACGCCGCGUGAGUGAUGAAGGCUUUCGGGUCGUAAAACUCUGUUGUUAGGGAAGAACAAGUGCUAGUUGAAUAAGCUGGCACCUUGACGGUCCCUAACCAGAAAGCCACGGCUAACUACGUGCCAGCAGCCGCGGUAAUACGUAGGUGGCAAGCGUUAUCCGGAAUUAUUGGGCGUAAAGCGCGCGCAGGUGGUUUCUUAAGUCUGAUGUGAAAGCCCACGGCUCAACCGUGGAGGGUCAUUGGAAACUGGGAGACUUGAGUGCAGAAGAGGAAAGUGGAAUUCCAUGUGUAGCGGUGAAAUGCGUAGAGAUAUGGAGGAACACCAGUGGCGAAGGCGACUUUCUGGUCUGUAACUGACACUGAGGCGCGAAAGCGUGGGGAGCAAACAGGAUUAGAUACCCUGGUAGUCCACGCCGUAAACGAUGAGUGCUAAGUGUUAGAGGGUUUCCGCCCUUUAGUUCUUCAGUUAACGCGGUGUUGCACUCCGC